GCGGGGUGUGUAGAAAAGCUAUGGAAGGUGGCGGUCCUUGGGGGACCAAAAUUGGAAACUUGUAUUUGUCGAUAUAAGGAUUGGUCUUAGUGGACCGUGUUCAUGAUGUCGAACUAUUAGGGAUGUACUAGUCAUCCCAUGGGAUAAUUCCCUGGUCAUGCGGCUACAAGCACUGGGCCCUUUUAGCAGGGGGUUGAACCCAUAUUGCCCGUGGGUGGUUUAGGACGGCCAAGCUACACAGCCCAGGU
rnacentral:lncRNA from 1 species